UGGGCAUCCCCGGGGAGUCCCUGUUUACGCAGGGAUUGAGAGCGGAGUGUACCGCGACCCGUUGAACCUGAUCCGAUUAAUAUCGGCGGAGGGAGGGAGCGGCAGUUUGAA
rnacentral:ncRNA from 2 species